AGAGUUUGAUCAUGGCUCAGAUUGAACGCUGGCGGCAGGCCUAACACAUGCAAGUCGAGCGGUAGCACAGAGAGCUUGCUCUCGGGUGACGAGCGGCGGACGGGUGAGUAAUGUCUGGGAAACUGCCUGAUGGAGGGGGAUAACUACUGGAAACGGUAGCUAAUACCGCAUAACGUCGCAAGACCAAAGUGGGGACCUUCGGGCCUCAUGCCAUCAGAUGUGCCCAGAUGGGAUUAGCUAGUAGGUGGGGUAAUGGCUCACCUAGGCGACGAUCCCUAGCUGGUCUGAGAGGAUGACCAGCCACACUGGAACUGAGACACGGUCCAGACUCCUACGGGAGGCAGCAGUGGGGAAUAUUGCACAAUGGGCGCAAGCCUGAUGCAGCCAUGCCGCGUGUGUGAAGAAGGCCUUCGGGUUGUAAAGCACUUUCAGCGGGGAGGAAGGCGGUGAGGUUAAUAACCUCAUCGAUUGACGUUACCCGCAGAAGAAGCACCGGCUAACUCCGUGCCAGCAGCCGCGGUAAUACGGAGGGUGCAAGCGUUAAUCGGAAUUACUGGGCGUAAAGCGCACGCAGGCGGUCUGUCAAGUCGGAUGUGAAAUCCCCGGGCUCAACCUGGGAACUGCAUUCGAAACUGGCAGGCUAGAGUCUUGUAGAGGGGGGUAGAAUUCCAGGUGUAGCGGUGAAAUGCGUAGAGAUCUGGAGGAAUACCGGUGGCGAAGGCGGCCCCCUGGACAAAGACUGACGCUCAGGUGCGAAAGCGUGGGGAGCAAACAGGAUUAGAUACCCUGGUAGUCCACGCCGUAAACGAUGUCGAUUUGGAGGUUGUGCCCUUGAGGCGUGGCUUCCGGAGCUAACGCGUUAAAUCGACCGCCUGGGGAGUACGGCCGCAAGGUUAAAACUCAAAUGAAUUGACGGGGGCCCGCACAAGCGGUGGAGCAUGUGGUUUAAUUCGAUGCAACGCGAAGAACCUUACCUGGUCUUGACAUCCACAGAACUUUCCAGAGAUGGAUUGGUGCCUUCGGGAACUGUGAGACAGGUGCUGCAUGGCUGUCGUCAGCUCGUGUUGUGAAAUGUUGGGUUAAGUCCCGCAACGAGCGCAACCCUUAUCCUUUGUUGCCAGCGGUUCGGCCGGGAACUCAAAGGAGACUGCCAGUGAUAAACUGGAGGAAGGUGGGGAUGACGUCAAGUCAUCAUGGCCCUUACGACCAGGGCUACACACGUGCUACAAUGGCAUAUACAAAGAGAAGCGACCUCGCGAGAGCAAGCGGACCUCAUAAAGUAUGUCGUAGUCCGGAUUGGAGUCUGCAACUCGACUCCAUGAAGUCGGAAUCGCUAGUAAUCGUAGAUCAGAAUGCUACGGUGAAUACGUUCCCGGGCCUUGUACACACCGCCCGUCACACCAUGGGAGUGGGUUGCAAAAGAAGUAGGUAGCUUAACCUUCGGGAGGGCGCUUACCACUUUGUGAUUCAUGACUGGGGUGAAGUCGUAACAAGGUAACCGUAGGGGAACCUGCGGUUGGAUCACCU
rnacentral:rRNA from 1 species